GACGAACGCUGGCGGCGUGCCUAAUACAUGCAAGUUGAGCGAUGAAGAUUGGUGCUUGCCCCAAUUUGAAGAGCAGCGAACGGGUGAGUAACGCGUGGGGAAUCUGCCUUUGAGCGGGGGACAACAUUUGGAAACGAAUGCUAAUACCGCAUAACAACUUUAAACAUAAGUUUUAAGUUUGAAAGAUGCAAUUGCAUCACUCAAAGAUGAUCCCGCGUUGUAUUAGCUAGUUGGUGAGGUAAAGGCUCACCAAGGCGAUGAUACAUAGCCGACCUGAGAGGGUGAUCGGCCACAUUGGGACUGAGACACGGCCCAAACGCCUACGGGAGGCAGCAGUAGGGAAUCUUCGGCAAUGGACGAAAGUCUGACCGAGCAACGCCGCGUGGGUGAAGAAGGGUUUCGGAUCGUAAAACUCUGUUGGUAGAGAAGAACGUUGGUGAGAGUGGAAAGCUCAUCAAGUGACGGUAACUACCCAGAAAGGGACGGCUAACUACGUG
rnacentral:rRNA from 1 species